AAAAGGCGGCUUUAAUUGCUUUAAAAACCCAGACUUACUUUACCAAACCCCAAAACGACGUCGGUUCUUCCUACCAUACAAAAACUCGCCCAACUCAGUCCAAACAGUAAAGAAGCUUCAACGCACGAGACAAAGACCCAAAAGCAGACUCAGUGGCCCUCACUCUCACCUCAGAGACGAAGAGCUCCAAAAAAGCUUGAGAGAGACUGAGAGAGAGAGAAAGUUAAAGAAAGAAAAAGCAAGAAAACGAAGAGUGCCAGAUCAAUACUGGUAAAGCAACGAGAAAAAGGGGUACUGAGAGAGAAUCUAGGGUUUCGUCGCGGUUCUGAACUGCUGAUCCGACGUCGUUAUGGCGAGUCCGCAGUCGGAACUGUUCGCUAGGACUCCGGUUUCCGGGAGAGCUCUGUCGAUUACACCAGGCGCUAGGAUUCUGCAGAGCCCUUUCAGUGAUGAAGCGAUCUGGAAGCGUCUUAAAGAGGCUGGCUUUGAUGAGGAGUCGAUUAAACGAAGGGACAAGGCUGCGCUCAUUGCCUAUAUUGCUAAGCUUGAAGCUGAGAUUUUUGAUCACCAACACCACAUGGGUCUUCUCAUAAUGGAAAGAAAGGAGUUAGCUUCCAAGUGUGAAGAAGUUAAAGCCUCUAAUGAGACAGCUGAACUUUUGCACAAGCGUGAUCAAGCUGCAUAUGUAUCUGCUUUGGCUGAAGCAAGGAAACGGGAGGAGUGCCUAAAGAAGGUAGUAGGAGUCAAGGAAGAGUGUAUAUCCAGUAUUGAGAAGUCAAUGCAUGAGAUGCGUGCAGAAUCUGCUGAAACAAAGGUUGCUGCUGAGAGUAAAUUGGCAGAAGCACGGAAUCUGGUGGAGGGUGCUCAGAAGAAAUUCACUGAGGCUGAGGCCAAGAUGCAUGUAGCAGAAUCUUUGCAAGCAGAAGCUAGUCGUUUUCACCGUGUCGCUGAAAGAAAGAUGCAAGAAGUUGAAGCACGUGAAGAUGAUCUUAGGAGAAACAUUUUGUCCUUCAAGACAGAUUGUGAUACAAAAGAGAAGGAGAUAAGCCUUGAGAGACAAUCUUUAUGUGAAAGGCAGAAAACCCUGCAGCAAGAACAAGAUAGAUUACUUGAUGCACAAGCCCUGCUUAACCAAAGGGAGGAUUUCAUAUUUGGUCGAUCUCAGGAACUGAAUCGACUUGAAAAAGAGUUAGAAGACGUAAAAGCGAAUAUCGAGAAGGAGCGUAGAGCCCUAGAUGAUGGGAAAUUAAAUCUGGAGCUGACUGAGGCUUCCCUUGUUAAUAGAGAGGAGGCUUUAACAAGAAGAGAAGCUUUGUUGAACAAAAAAGAGCAAGAGAUACUUGUUUUGCAGGAGAAACUUGUGAGCAAGGAAUCUGAUGAGAUUAGGAAAGCCUUAGCAAGCCAUGAAGUUGAGUUAAGAAAAAAGAAGUCUGAAUUUGAUUCGGAGCUGGACGUGAAGCGAAAACUGUUUGAAGAUGAAAUUGAAGCCAAGAGGCGAGCUUGGGAGUUGAGGGAAGUGGAUCUCAAUCAACGAGACGACCUACUGCAGGAAAGGGAGCAUGACUUGGAAGUUCAAUUGAGGACAUUGGUGGAUAGGGAGAAAGAUGUGGCAGAGAUGUCAAAUCUGGUUGAUGAGAAAGAAAAAACUUUGAGAGAUGCUGAGAAGGAGUUUGAGCUGAAUAAUGUUCUUUUGCAAAGAGAAAAGGAAGAAAUUAUCAAAAUGAAGGUAGAGCUUCAGAGCUCCUUGGAUUCACUUGAAGACAAAAGGAAACAACUUGAUUGUGCCAGGGAGAAGUUUGAGGUUUUGAAAACUGAAACAAGUGAGCUUUCAGAUCUAGAGAUGAAACUUAAAGAAGAGAUAGAUUUAGUCAGGGCUCAAAAGCAAGAGCUGAUGGCUGAGGCAGAUAAGUUGGCUGUAGAGAAGGCAAAGUUUGAAUCCGAGUGGGAAUUAAUUGAUGAAAAGAGAGAAGAGCUACGGAAGGAAGCAGAGCAUGUUGCAGAGGAGAGGUUGGCGUUUUCCAAGUUUAUCAAGGAUGAGCAUGAUAACCUAAGGCAGGAGAAGGAGGAAAUGCGAGAUCAGCACAAGCGUGAUGUUGAAUUACUUGUUAGUGAGCGAGAGGACUUCAUGAAUAAGAUGGUUCAUGAGCGUUCUGAGUGGUUUGGCAAGAUGCAGAAGGAACGCGCAGACUUCUUACUUGAAAUUGAGAUGCGGAAGAGGGAAUUGGAGAACUGUAUUGAUAAAAAGCAUGAAGAGUUAGAAUGUUCAUUGAAGGAAAAGGAGAUUGCCUUUGAGCAAGAAAAGAAAAAUGAAUUUCAGAAUAUUAACUCUCUUAAGGAAGAAGCAGCAAAAGAGAGGGAACAGGUUGCUUUAGAAAGGAAAAGGCUUGAGACUGAGAGAAUAGAGAUCAAUUUGGAUCGUGAGCGUAGGGAUCGGGAAUGGGCGGAGCUAAAUAAUUCAAUCGAGGAACUGAGGGUCCAGAGAGAGAAAUUGAAAGAACAGAGGGAAUUAUUGCAUGCAGAUAGAGAAGAGAUUCUUGGUCAGAUUCAACACCUGAAGGAAUUGGAGAGUUUGAAGGCUGCUUUAGAUAGUGCGUCUGCGUCUGAGAUGCAACAAUCUGAUUUGGUGCCUCGCAGCCGGAAAACUUCUAGGCGAUAUUUGAAGCAGUUAACUUCUGUUCGAGAAGCUGAUCAUAAUUCACAUAAUGAAGAAAAUGUUGCCAACAUUAGCAACUCAUCAAUAAUGCUAAAAUCAGGGUUUUCUCCUUCUAGUUCUGCUCGUUUCUCAUGGUUGAAGCGCUGCAGGGAAUUGCUUUUUAAACAGUCUCCUGAGAAGCACCAAACGGAAUAUGAAGAAAAUCAUGUGAUCUCUCGGGAGGAAACAAGUUUGACCGUAACUGAACAGGUAGAUACAUCAAGUAAAUAUGACGGGCAUAGGUACACGGGAAAUGGUAAUUCACCUAGAUUUUUCAGUAAGAGACAGAAUGCUUUUGGUGAACCGAAGGUGAUAGUUGAGGUUCCCUUUGUUGGUGAGACUGUAAAAGGAACACACACUCAAUCUGAAAUUAAGGAAUUUGAUGGUGAAAGUUGUUCCCCCUUAAUUUCUGAACAAGUCUACCAGGGAGGAAGGAAAAGAAGAGUUGACAAAUCUUUGUCUAAUGACGGUUUUGAUCCACUACUUGAGCCCAGGCAGAACCUUAAGAAAAGGAGGCAACAACAAGAUGCCACUGUGAACUCAUCAGAAUAUGCCAACACCCACUGCAUUGCGUCAACACAGGAAAAAGUACUAGAGGAUCAGAAUAUAUCAAUGCCAUUGCCAUCUGAUCAAAUUUGUGAAGGCGCUGAAGAGGGUAGUGCUUUAAUAGUAGAUAAAAUCAUAAAGGUUUCCGAAGUGAUUUUUGAGGAAACUGGAACUGGCAGUCUUGGCAAUGAAGGCAAAUUAGAGGCGCAGAACUCUAUUGUAGAAGCACACCAUGGACAGAAUGGUGUCUUCCAGGGAGCUGUUGGACAAGUUACUGAGCACUGUCAGAUUCAAGCCGAAGAUACAUCCGCAAAGCAUGUGCAGUCCCAGUGAGAUGAUGAUAUUUGAAAGUGUACAGAAGCUUUAGAUUUUGCAAAGCUGUCAUAGUCAAAAGAGAAUAGUAGAGCUCUGGUUGUUCAUAGUGUGUACUUCUAGUCUGUUGCAUGGCUGUCGAAAUAGAUGCAAAUAGAGUGCAUCUUUUGCGGAAAGUCCUCAACUUUAAAGAGGCUCCCUUGUGAUGGCUUGUAUCUUGGAGUGGGCUACUUAUGUCCUUAUGUGAAAUUUGUGAAUGUUUGGUGGUUCUGAUGUUACCUUUUUUUCGUUUGUUCUGGUUGAUAGAUGUGAUCUAUUUUUCUUUCGAGUUCGUAUUUUAGGGCAAACAUGGAGUGUGUUGUGUGGCAUUUGUACUAUAUAGGGGGACCUCGUCUCUGGUUAUGAUCAUGGGUUAUCUGUUGCUACUUGGUGAAAUAUUGUUUCUUUCUUGGUGAUGUUUUUAAGUCCCAGGCAUCAACCGACAAGGAAGGUUUGGUUGUGUGCUUCUGUUUU